AUUGAACGAUGGCGGAAGGAAGAAAAGAGGAAAGUCGAGAGGAGGAAGGGAGCUUGCGGCGGGAUUAAGCGGCGGACGGGUGAGUAAUGCCUAGGAAUCUGCCUGGUAGUGGGGGAUAACGUCCGGAAACGGGCGCUAAUACCGCAUACGUCCUGAGGGAGAAAGUGGGGGAUCUUCGGACCUCACGCUAUCAGAUGAGCCUAGGUCGGAUUAGCUAGUUGGUGGGGUAAAGGCCUACCAAGGCGACGAUCCGUAACUGGUCUGAGAGGAUGAUCAGUCACACUGGAACUGAGACACGGUCCAGACUCCUACGGGAGGCAGCAGUGGGGAAUAUUGGACCAUGGGCGAAAGCCUGAUCCAGCCAUGCCGCGUGUGUGCAGAAGGUCUUCGGAUUGUAACUCUCUUUCCGUUGGGAGGAAGGGCAGUAAGUUCAUACCUUGCUGUUUUGACGUUCCCAACAGACUAAGCCCCUCCUCCCUUCGUC
rnacentral:rRNA from 1 species